UGGGCUUGACAUGUACGGAUUAACCCUAUGAAAGUAGGGCCACACCCGCAAGGGCGGAACGUGCACAGGUGCUGCAUGGCUGUCGUCAGCUCGUGCUGUGAAGUGUCGGGUUAAGUCCCUUAACGAGCGCAACCCCUGUCGUUAGUUGCUCACGCGUCAUGGCGAGUACUCUAGCGAGACUGCCGGUGUCAAACCGGAGGAAGGUGGGGAUGACGUCAAGUCCUCAUGGCCCUUACGCCCG
rnacentral:rRNA from 1 species